GCUUUGCUGACGAGUGGCGGACGGGUGAGUAAUGUCUGGGAAACUGCCCGAUGGAGGGGGAUAACUACUGGAAACGGUAGCUAAUACCGCAUAAUGUCGCAAGACCAAAGAGGGGGACCUUCGGGCCUCUUGCCAUCGGAUGUGCCCAGAUGGGAUUAGCUUGUUGGUGAGGUAACGGCUCACCAAGGCGACGAUCCCUAGCUGGUCUGAGAGGAUGACCAGCCACACUGGAACUGAGACACGGUCCAGACUCCUACGGGAGGCAGCAGUGGGGAAUAUUGCACAAUGGGCGCAAGCCUGAUGCAGCCAUGCCGCGUGUAUGAAGAAGGCCUUCGGGUUGUAAAGUACUUUCAGCGGGGAGGAAGGGGUUAAGGUUAAUAACCUUAGCCAUUGACGUUACCCGCAGAAGAAGCACCGGCUAACUCCGUGCCAGCAGCCGCGGUAAUACGGAGGGUGCAAGCGUUAAUCGGAAUUACUGGGCGUAAAGCGCACGCAGGCGGUCUGUCAAGUCGGAUGUGAAAUCCCCGGGCUCAACCUGGGAACUGCAUUCGAAACUGGCAGGCUUGAGUCUCGUAG
rnacentral:rRNA from 1 species